GUGCAGAACCCCAGCGUCCGAGACCUAAGCCCGUUCGUGAUGACGCCAGCGCAAGUUAGAUCUUUGUUCGUUUAGAUUUCUAAUCUGGAUCAUUUCAAUGGCAAAAAAAAAAAAAGAGAGAGAGAAUUAUGGGUGCUCCACUUAAGCCACGAGAGAUAUUCGGCGCCUUGUAUGAAUUACAAAACGAGACGCUUCAACCAAUCAUCUUUUCGAUUGGGAUACUAAAGUGGAGCUUACGUCACUACUUUUAUUUUAAAAAAAUAUCCAGGAGUUUGUGACGCGCUUUUGGAUGAAUACACGUGUAUAACUGUAUCAUCAUGUCAUCAUCGAGUUGGUCCCACAAUAUUCAGCCGUUAGAUAGAACAGCGAUCAAGUGUAUAGCAGUUAGAAGAAUUCUCCUUUCAUUGGACCAUGUGUUGCAGUCUAAUACUUGAUUAAUAUGAGCCUGGAAAAGAAGAGAUUAAAAUCAUAAUAUGUGUUUAUAAGAUUUUUUUAACAUCAAUACUAUUGGUGUUCAAAAAAAAAUAAAAAUAACAUCAAUAUUAUUAAAACCAAAAAAACAGAAUCAAUUUUUAUCUAUAUACAAACAAUCUAAAUUAGACCAUUACAUCUGACCACAUUGACUAUUCUUUCUGUUUAUAUCUAAUUUAAUUAUCAUUAAAACAUACAUUACAUCUACAAUUUUAAAAUUAAAUAAAAAAAUUAUUAUUUUUGAAAUUAAUAAAUUCAAUUUAUAUUUAUGCUAAACAAACUGAAUUAAUUAAUCAAUUAUAUUUUAUUUAAUAAUUGGUUCAGUUUUGGAUCCGGAUCCGGAUAAUGUCUAUGCCUAAAAAAAUAAAUAUAUGAUGUGUAAUUUGUGUAUAAUGAGAAUAUGAAAAAGGAAAAUAAGAAAAGACUGUGACGUGGCUAAAGGCGGCGUGAUCUUCUUCUACCUCUCUCUCUCUCUCUUGAGUGACACAGUUACAGAGAAAACAGAAAAAAAAAAGAGCUUCGGCGUAACGAAAUGGCUGGGAAUCUACUCAAACACACAGUUCGAGAGCGUGUCAAGCAAGGUGAUCACGCUUUCAUCCAGCAUCGUGACGAUUCUGAUGCUUUUUUUCGGUGGCCAAGAUAAGAUCAACAUCGAAGGAGAGAGGGAGUUGUACGUAAAGCUAGCUGGGUAUCUGGGGAUGAUCUACGUAACCGCAGCUCUCUUUGACGCAAAGGCUCGACCCAGACUUGCUGGAUUUCGUAUCAUAAGCAUACUCUGUUCCUAUCUCAGCGUGUGGUUCCUGAUUUACGCUAUCUUUGAACGUCACAGUAUACCAUUUGUGGUGAUUUCAAUUGGGAUCACUCUUGGUGGAUAUAUUGCAUCAGUACAAAUGCGCAGCCACAAAGUAGGAUGCAAACAAGGAGUCAAACAAGAAGUAGAAUCAAAUCUUUGGAGAGUCCUGGGAAUCCAACAGGCAUGAAGCUCAAGCCGGACAUGUCAGAGACGAGCCACCGGUCGAGUAAAGUGCUGACGCCUUCGCUGGAAGUCAUUCCAGGAGGUAAAGGCAAAGCCACCAUGUCAGGCGGUGGAAGCACCGGUAGAGGCAAAUCGCAGCCAAAAACGGACCCAAAGAUUGGAAAGUCUAGGUGUGCAGAGGAGGAGGCCAAACCGAGGAAGAAGAAGAAGAACGAUGAGCUCAAAACUGCAGUCAAAGCCAGAGGUGAGGCAAUAAGCACCAAGAGGUAGUCUAAAAGGACCCAAACCAGGAUUCAUGGUCCAAGGUAUGACCUUGGAGACCGUCACCCUUUAUCCCCUAAGACCUUGUCAACCAUCUCAAGGGAGACUUUAUUAGUUUUUUAUUUGUCACAUCGUUUUUUUUUCUGGUCAAACUUAUCGUAUAACUUUUAUCAUUUUCGGGUUCUCUCUUUCUUUUUUAUCAAUGUUUCAGAAUAUAUAACAUUUUGACAUAAUUAAAUUCAUAUAAAAUAGCAAAAAUCAGAUAAGCCACUAAAUAAACAAAAAAUAAGAUAACUACUAAGAAAUCGAUCAGUAUAUACUUAUUAGUUAUUAUACAUGGUUUAAUCAACUAAGUUAGUGGGGGUAGGGAGGUUAGGAUUAUGUCAAACCUAGGCAGGCCACACCCACACCACAAGUCGGACUAUAACAAGUUAAUCCGUUUCGUAAACGCUGCCAUGAAAGAUCACUCGCCGAGGUCUCUCUCAUUUCUCUCUAUUCAAGCAGGGAUCGAUUUGAGAAAAUAGAAACAGAUUAGACAUAUAUUUUCAUGUCUUGUAGUAAAGAACACUUUAUUCGGUUUCUGACCAAACAAAUUAAAUUAUGUAAUUUGAUACAUUACAUUUUUUUGUUUUACUUUUUUUUAAACUAGUUAUUAAUUGAUUAUAUAGUUUAGAUUUUAUACUAACAAGUAACAACUAUAUAUUUAGCUAUUCAUUUUAAACAACAUGAAAUAAAAAUAAUGACAGCUUACCAAGUGGACACAGACUUGUUCUCCAUCUUACCAAAUGUCGUGAAAAAAAAGGGCCAAGACCCAUUUCCAAGACGCCGACGAAGACUCAUUCUUCAACAUAUUCCUUUUAGGAUCAUUUUUAUACUUUGAGAAACAUAAAACAACCUUAACAAUAUAAUAGAAGACAUGUAUCUGAAAGUUUAAAAGUUUGCACAAUAUGAAAAGUUUGAGAAAGUAUUACUUAGACCACAACCUCUUGUCCUUAACACUGCAUUAGACACAUAGUCUAAGCGACUCAUAACAUCU